rnacentral:rRNA from 1 species
AAAUUGAAGAGUUUGAUCAUGGCUCAGAUUGAACGCUGGCGGCAGGCCUAACACAUGCAAGUCGAACGGUAACAGGAAGCAGCUUGCUGCUUCGCUGACGAGUGGCGGACGGGUGAGUAAUGUCUGGGAAACUGCCUGAUGGAGGGGGAUAACUACUGGAAACGGUGGCUAAUACCGCAUAACGUCGCAAGACCAAAGAGGGGGACCUUCGGGCCUCUUGCCAUCAGAUGUGCCCAGAUGGGAUUAGCUUGUUGGUGAGGUAACGGCUCACCAAGGCGACGAUCCCUAGCUGGUCUGAGAGGAUGACCAGCCACACUGGAACUGAGACACGGUCCAGACUCCUACGGGAGGCAGCAGUGGGGAAUAUUGCACAAUGGGCGCAAGCCUGAUGCAGCCAUGCCGCGUGUAUGAAGAAGGCCUUCGGGUUGUAAAGUACUUUCAGCGGGGAGGAAGGUGUUGUGGUUAAUAACCACAGCAAUUGACGUUACCCGCAGAAGAAGCACCGGCUAACUCCGUGCCAGCAGCCGCGGUAAUACGGAGGGUGCAAGCGUUAAUCGGAAUUACUGGGCGUAAAGCGCACGCAGGC